rnacentral:lncRNA from 1 species
UUUUAUCCGUACCCUUUGAUGCUACAAAUUUGACAUUACUGUUUUUCUUCUGAUAACGAGCUCCUUUUGUUUCAAAUUUUGAUUUAGAAACGUUAGGCCUUUGAGCUCGUUGAACUGGUUGAUCUACAUGGAUACCUUCUUUGCCCUUAGCAGCAAUAGGUUGUUGUUUUGUCGGUGAUUUUUGAUUUCUGAAUUGUUUCCUGAUUUCAGCUUUUGGAAUUGGAUCACAUUGUGUUACCACAACUCCGGGGAUGGUCUUUCCCAAAAAUUUAUUCGUGUUGUCUUCAAAAACUUUAUCAAUCAAAGAUGGAUUGACAUUCUUAAUUGGAAAAUCAUUGUCCGAAUAAAUUUUAGCAUCACCGACCAAAGUAUACAACACGUUAUUGCUCUUAACAGCAAACACACAUUCUUUGUCAUCCUUGACAUUCUUGACAGGAUCUAUCACUUGCUUGGCAACAGGUUGCACAGUAGGAGUAGGAGGAUCACACAGAAUAUGAUUCUCAACUAGAAUUUCUACUCCUUUCGUCUCAU